rnacentral:rRNA from 1 species
UUUUUUUUCUAUACGGAGAAAGAACCAACAGGGAUUGCCCUAGUAACGGCGAGUGAAGCGGCAACAGCUCAAAUUUGAAAUCUGGCUCUUUUAGAGUCCGAGUUGUAAUUUGCAGAGGGCGCUUUGGCUUUGGCAGCGGUCCAAGUUCCUUGGAACAGGACGUCACAGAGGGUGAGAAUCCCGUACGUGGUCGCUGGCUAUUGCCGUGUAAAGCCCCUUCGACGAGUCGAGUUGUUUGGGAAUGCAGCUCUAAAUGGGAGGUACAUUUCUUCUAAAGCUAAAUAUUGGCCAGAGACCGAUAGCGCACAAGUAGAGUGAUCGAAAGAUGAAAAGCACUUUGGAAAGAGAGUCAAACAGCACGUGAAAUUGUUGAAAGGGAAGCGCUUGCAGCCAGACUUGCUUACAGUUGCUCAUCCGGGUUUCUACCCGGUGCACUCUUCUGUAGGCAGGCCAGCAUCAGUUUGGGCGGUAGGAUAAAGGUCUCUGUCACGUACCUCCUUUCGGGGAGGCCUUAUAGGGGAGACGACAUACUACCAGCCUGGACUGAGGUCCGCGCAUCUGCUAGGAUGCUGGCGUAAUGGCUGUAAGCGGCCCGUCUUGAAACACGGACCAAGGAGUCUAACAUCUAUGCGAGUGUUUGGGUGUCAAGCCCGAGCGCGUAAUGAAAGUGAACGGAGGUGGGAACCCGCAAGGGUGCACCAUCGACCGAUCCUGAUGUCUUCGGAAGGAUUUGAGUAAGAGCAUGGCUGUUGGGACCCGAAAGAUGGUGAACUAUGCUUGAAUAGGGUGAAGCCAGAGGAAACUCUGGUGGAGGCUCGCAGCGGUUCUGACGUGCAAAUCGAUCGUCAAAUUUGGGCAUAAGGGGCGAAAGACUAUCGAACUACUAGACUGUCGAGGCCAACC